rnacentral:lncRNA from 1 species
AAUGCAUUUGGCAUUAUAUUUUUUUAUUUUUUCCAUGACACUUAACUUUAGUCUCUCUGGGGGAAUGUGUACCAUUUCUGAUGGAACAUCUCUUAGGAAUAGAGUCCCUUCCCACCACCAGGUGAAAAUGAAAUAAAAAAUGAAACAAAACUUUUCACAUAUAUUCCAGGCAGCCUUAUCCUGUGAGAGCUCCAUUGUUCUCCUUACAUUUUUUUGAAAGGAUUUCCAGAUCAAAGGAAUCUGGGGAAUGUUUCAUAUGUUUUUUUCUCAUGAAUAUUUACAGUGAAUACUAGCACAUUAAAGAGUCUGAGAAGUCUUUCAGUAAAAAUUCCUGCCUAGCUUUAACUCAGAGUUUCCCAAACUCUUUGCCAGUAACCUUUUUUUUCACGACACCUACAAUUUCAAGGAAUGAGUGUUAUGUGGACACACUUUGGGAAGGGUAGAGUGCAGAUAAGGGGCCCACUGAGAAAGAGCUCAGUCAAGAGAGUCUCACUGGGAUACCCACCCCUCAGUGAGUUCAGUGGUGGCUUCUACAAGAUGUGUCCACCUGAACCUCAGAAUGUGACCUUAUUUGGCAUAAAUGUUUUUGCAGAUGAAUUAAGUUUAGGAUUUCUAGAUUAAAUCAUUCUGGCUUAGUGUGAACCCUAAAUCCAGUGAUGAACAUCCUUAUAAGAGAUGGGAAGAACACACAGAGAAACAGGGGAGAAGGCCAUGUGAAGACAGAGGCAGAGAUUGGAGCUUUGCUGCCACAGCCAAGGAAGCUGGAGCCACUAGAAUCUGGAAGAGGCAAGCAAGGCUCUUCCCCUAGAGUCCUGAGGAGGGAUGUGGCCCUGUUGACAUCUUAAUUUCAGAAUUCUGGCCUCCACUAUGGUCAGAGAAUAAAUUACUGUCGUUUUAACUCACCCGGUUUGUGGUAAUUUGUUUUGGCAGUCCUAGAAAACCACUGCACCACCCUUACCUUCCUUUUUCACCACCGACUAGCUGCUCAUCAUUUUUUUCAUCUUCAAAGUGAGGAAAGAAUACCUAUUCUGCAUAUCUCCAGGGUAGUUUUUUAUUCUGAAAGGAAAAAUGGACACAAUGGUGCCGUUUAAAGAAGUUCAUGGACAUGAGCUUGAUACCCUCCAGCUGGGUUCAGGCCCAGCAGCUAGGGUUGGGACCUCAAGGAGAGACAGGACAUUGAAUCAGAAAACAUUGCUGGUCAAACCUCUCAUAUGUCCAUAUUCUUUACUCAUUUACUGUUCCAGCCAUCAGAAUACAGAAGGAUACAGGAUACAGAAAUGAACAAAACAUACCCAAUCCCCACCCUGUGGAAAUCAUAUAGUCAGUAAAGGAGCUAGACUUUAAACACGUAAGUAACCCACUUAAUGUCAGAGCAUGAUGGAAGGUGUCUUAGGUUCUGAUGCAGCCCAUGGCCCUCACUCCUGGGUUGCCAUUAAUCUAGCACAUGGUUUUGGCCACAAAGAUGGCACCAGAUAAUGUGUUUGAUAAUAGCAAUGUAAUAGAGAAAUUAGCCCCCCCAUACACACUUUCCACCUAGAAAAGAUACUGAAAAUAAGUAAUUUAGUGGCUCUGGAGACAUUUAUCUUGGAUAACAAAUUAGCAGGUAUCAAAGGCCAAGGUGACCUAGUAAUUCUAUUCCUACAAAUAUACUAAAGAGAUACGAAGACACAGGUCCAUGAAGAAUUGAAAAGAGGUAUCAAACAAAUGCUCAUACACAAAUGCUUAUAACAGCAUUAUUCACAGUAGCUAAAUGGGGAAACAAGCAUCUAUUGAUAGAUGAAUGGAUAAAUAAAAAGUGGUAUAGCCACACAAUGCAUCAAAAAAAAAAAAAAAAAGCCAAACACAAAAGUCUGUAUAUUAUAUUAUUCAAUUUAUUUGAGAGGUCCGAAAUAAACCCACAGAGACAUAAAGCAGAUGGUGGCUGCCAGGCUCUGGGAAGAAGGGAAAAAUGGGGAGUGGCUACUUAAUUGGAACAGGGUCUCCUUUUAGGGUGAAGAAAAUGUUUUGGAGUUAGAUAGAGGUGAUGGUUGCACAAUAUCAUGAAUGUACUAAAUGCCAUCAAAUUGUACAGUUUAAAAUGGUUUAUGUUAUGUGAAUUUUACACCACACCCUGCCCCACCACACACACAUGCACACACACAAAGUCAGCGUGUCCCUUUUAUGUCUUGUUUGAGGAAGGAGGGACAGGGACAUUCCAGGGAUCUCACUACAAGUACGGGGUCCACUAAGUUCAAAGCCAGAGCCCUGCCAAUAGGGAAAUGGGAGACAUGUUCUUACUUAGCAGACACUUGCUAUGGGAUUUGGCAGGCUCACAGCUUGUGGUGGGAGGGCUGGGGCAAGGCAAAUCAUGACACAAAACAGAGACAGAGAGCCUGGCCAGAAAUUGAGGAAUAUCCUUGGAGGGUUGGGAUAGAUCCCUUGGGAAAGGCCAAGUCUUGAAGUACCUUUCCUUUUAUGAUGGGAGCUUCAUGUUAGCCACCCCCACCCUGGGGCUUUGUUCUUCUUGCAGUGUGAUUCUUUCCUGAAGUUUUCCCUCCAGCUUCAGUAUAGAAAUUCACAUGAACAUUGCAACACAGCAUGUUAGGGAGAGGGUGUGCAUUAGCUUCCUAUUGCUGCUGUAACAAAUUGCCACAAACUUACUGACAAAUAAUAUACAUUUAUUAUUUGUAGGAUAGAGAUCUAAUAUGGGUCUUUCUGGGGUACAAUAAAGGGUUUGGAAGGGCUGUGUUCCUUCUAAAGGCUCUAGGGGAGAAUCCAUUCCAGCUUCUAGAAGCUGCCUGCAUUUUUUGGCUCCUGGUCUUCUGUCUUCAAAGCUAGAAACUGAAUCUCUCCAACAUCUCUUCCAUCACCAUAUCUCCUUCUCUGACUCUCUGUCUUCCUCUCCCAUAUUUUAAGGGCCCUUCCGAUUACAUUGGGCCCACUUUGGUAAUCCACGAUGAUCUCCCCAUCUGUCAGUCCUUAACUUAAUCACAGCAGUAAAAUUCUUUUUGCCCUGUAAAGUAACAUAUUCACAGGUUCCAGGUAUUAGGACAUCUUUGGGCCAUUAUUUUGCCUACCACAGAGUAGGUGGGGAAGGAGACAUCUGUGCAGAAUCACUGAUGACCAUCAGCAGACAGACCCACAACCUGGAGGGCACAAGAGAAGAACAAAAUGAGAGAGUCCAAACUCUAUGCUCCCUAAAUUAGCAAAAGCUACCCUAUUAUAAUAGAAAAAGGAAGAACCCAACAAUAUGUGAUUGUAAGAAUAAAAACCAGCGUAUAUGAUGCAUUUACUAGGUGCUAGCCUCUC